CAGUAGCCGCGGGAAUACGUAGGUGGCAAGCGUUGUCCGGAAUUAUUGGGCGUAAAGGGCUCGCAGGCGGUUUCUUAAGUCUGAUGUGGAAGCCCCCGGCUCAACCGGGGAGGGUCAUUGGAAACUGGGAAACUUGAGUGCAGAAGAGGAGAGUGGAAUUCCACGUGUAGCGGUGAAAUGCGUAGAGAUGUGGAGGGACACCAGUGGCGAAGGCGACUCUCUGGUCUGUAACUGACGCUGAGGAGCGAAAGCGUGGGGAGCGAACAGGAUUAGAUACCCCCGUAGUCCCUGUCUCUUAUAC
rnacentral:rRNA from 1 species